UACGAAGGGGGCUAGCGUUGUUCGGAAUCACUGGGCGUAAAGCGCACGUAGGCGGACUUGUUAGUCAGGGGUGAAAUCCCGGGGCUCAACCCCGGAACUGCCUUUGAUACUGCAAGUCUUGAGUCCGAGAGAGGUGAGUGGAAUUCCUAGUGUAGAGGUGAAAUUCGUAGAUAUUAGGAAGAACACCAGUGGCGAAGGCGGCUCACUGGCUCGGUACUGACGCUGAGGUGCGAAAGCGUGGGGAGCAAACAGG
rnacentral:rRNA from 1 species